UACGUAGGGUGCAAGCGUUGUCCGGAAUUAUUGGGCGUAAAGAGCUCGUAGGCGGUCUGUCGCGUCGGAUGUGAAAAUCCAGGGCUCAACCCUGGACCUGCAUUCGAUACGGGCAGACUAGAGUUCGGCAGGGGAGACUGGAAUUCCUGGUGUAGCGGUGAAAUGCGCAGAUAUCAGGAGGAACACCGGUGGCGAAGGCGGGUCUCUGGGCCGAUACUGACGCUGAGGAGCGAAAGCUAGGGUAGCAAACGGG
rnacentral:rRNA from 1 species